CCUACGGGAGGCAGCAGUGAGGAAUAUUGGUCAAUGGACGAGAGUCUGAACCAGCCAAGUAGCGUGAAGGAUGACUGCCCUAUGGGUUGUAAACUUCUUUUAUAUGGGAAUAAAAUGUUCCACGUGUGGGAUUUUGUAUGUACCAUAUGAAUAAGGAUCGGCUAACUCCGUGCCAGCAGCCGCGGUAAUACGGAGGAUCAGCGCGUUAUCCGGAUUUAUUGGGUUUAAAGGGAGCGUAGGUGGAUUGUUAAGUCAGUUGUGAAAGUUUGCGGCUUAACCGUAAAAUUGCAGUUGAAACUGGCAGUCUUGAGUACAGUAGAGGUAGGCGGAAUUCGUGGUGUAGCGGUGAAAUGCUUAGAUAUCACGAAGAACUCCGAUUGCGAAGGCAGUUCACUGGACUGCAACUGACGCUGAGGCUCGAAAGUGUGGGUAUCAAACAGGAUUAGAUACCCUUGUAGUC
rnacentral:rRNA from 1 species